UUCUGGUAAACAAUUGAGUGAAAAUAAAGUAUUCCCCUUUUUGUUGGGGACUCCCUGGAACCCCUUCAAGGACCCCUGGGCGUCCCCGGACCCCACUUUGAGAACCACUGGU